CCCUUGGCUACCGGCAGGAUUGGAAUGUUGGAUAUGCUAGUAAGAUUCUCUCUUUUGACAUUGAAAUCAACGUCUAAAUUUACUGAAUAACAUUACCUCAUAUGUUGCCUUUCCAGAUGAUUGUCAUGGAGUGCCAAUCGGUCCAAGGGUAACUCAGCUGAAACCAUGCUGCUAAUAACAAGCUCACUGUGAAUUUGUUAUAAUUAGGCACAAUCUUAUUGGCUCUACAUUGUACCAUGGGGUCUGUACAAAGCUGUUAACUACAUUAAAGAGACUUGUGGAAAUCCUACCAUGAUUUUGGCUGAGAAUUGUACAUUAUGUAUGCAUUCUAUAUUCAAGGAAGUUUUACGCUUAGGUGAAAAAUUAUCGAGUAUCUAAAUGUUGAAUCAUUUUCACAUGAUUGGCAGGAAUGGAUGAUCUGGGAAAGUGUUGCAUGUUCUAAGGAUUUACAUGAGACCACAAGGAUCAACUACUAAAAGAGCUAUUUAGCAGAAUUGAAGAAACAAGCAAUGAGGGAGCCAAUGUGAUCAGCUACUUCCAGUGGACAUUGCUUUCUAAUUUCGAAAAGAGACUCAGGUACACAUCAAGGUCCGUCAUUGUCUAUAUUGAUUUCAAAACCCUCAAGAGAUACCCAAAGAUGUCCACCUACUGGUUCCGACGGCUGCUAUACCGAAGCCAGCAUUAAGCAAAAGAAUGGUUCUCUCUAUCUUUCAAUAUUGCCAUCUGCCAUCUUUCCAUUCGAAUUUAAAGCUGCCACAUGAAUUUCACUGGAAGGUACGAGGAACAAAAUUUAACUUGUUUUUAUUCAUUAAUAUUGCCCCGUCUACCUUACAUAACAUGGUGUGUUCUCGGUGUAUGACAUUGGUAACCCCUAAAUAUUUAUCGUAAAAGCUCAUUAUUAACACAAACUGAUAGUUCCCUUCUCUUACUUCAGAAACAAGUAACGAUCAAAGUAUUUUACAGUGGACCAUAGCAAUUACUGACUCUUAAGUUUCCAUCUUCAAAAUGUCUAAUCUUAGUCUUGUUUAGAGUACUCAAGCCUUUGUAGGUGUUUAUUUUGUAAGUAUACUUUGUGCUCAUUUGGUAAGAUAGACUUUGUAGUAUUGUCAAAUAUUACUAAAUAAUAAACAAUAUCAUUUUCAAUAGUACAUGUGAGUUUUGUACCAUAAAAUUUUUAACUAGAAUGCACUCAAUAAUUUAGUUUUUUUUAGAUUGUCUUUUUUCUCGAGAGUUUAUGAGCUAUGGAUGACUAGACUUUAUCAGGGCUGAACUGAUGAACCAAAUGGCCAAUGCUUUCCAGAGGAGGUGUGAAUAUUUGCCAGUAAAAUUACAUACUUCUUUGCUGAUUAGAUUUUGCUGAUAAAAAUACUUCCUUUUUACAAAAUAGAAGAUUCUUCAUUAGCUCUAUUAACUUAGCCCAGAACUCAUUCUCUCUGGGUAGUCAAUGCAAUAAUGAAUAUCUACUUGGAUUCGUUCUCCAUCGGAACCUAAAAGUAUAGUUCAUUGUUGGUUAAAUGGUUUAUUUAUAGGUCCUCUCGUAUCUUAAAUGCUUUUUUGGGCUGAUUUCCAUAACAUUUUCUCGGCAGUGCUCCAGCAUCUUUCUUGCUAAAGAUCAAGAUGAUUGCUUGGAUGAAUUUGAAAUUUAUGUCUUUUAUUCACUUCAAAACUAACCUACUCCCUACUAAUUAUCUUCUUCCUUGCUUCUUGUUCUGCUAUGGGGGAUUUUGGACUUGCUAAAACUUUUAAAGAAGAUUAUUUAGCUUCUUCAAUAAGUGCUUGCUUAGCAUACUCAUUAAUAUACUUUUCCCCAUCGACGUUAAUAAUAAUUAAUGGAUGAAGUAUGAAAAGAUACCAUGUUUCCUUGUGUUUUCUGUUCAUUCGUUCUAUUUUAGUUAAUGAUAAUAGAAUUUAUGAAUUUAUGCUAGCAUAUCAACCAGUGAUUCUAUAUGACCUUUGCUUCAAUAUGAGUGGCCGGUAUGCAAUGAAACUCUUUUAGAGGGAGGGUUUGCAAGAUCUAUUAAAGUUAAAGGUCAAAUAUGGUUUCACUAUGUUCUUUGGUUCUCUUUCUAUUUUGAUACAAUAACAGAAACAACAAACUAAUCCUUAGUUCCUAUCAAAAUCGGUUGACAGCCUUGAGCAUUCAAUUUCUUUCAAAAGUUUAUUGCAGAUUUAUCCAUAGUAGUUGAUACAUGCAACAUAUUCUUUUCUCCUUCAAUAAAACAUGGAGUAAUGGAAAAUCUAUUAUUUAACUCCAAUUAAACUUGUCAAAAACAAAAUUUAGUGCCAAUUUAUUUUUCCCCCUAAAUAUCUGCAAUCAGCUUAUCCAAAGAAAAUAUCUAUCAAAAUUAGCUACUCGAUAAUGGAACUUAUCCAAAAAUCAUGUAAAGUCCUUCAUGGGUUCUGCAGAUCCUAUUGAGUUUGUGAGUUAUGUAUAAUAUUAGUCAUUCUUGCAAAUGAGAAUUGGAAAAUAUGUCAACGAGCUUCCUAAUUUUUCAUUUAUUGAUUAUGAUGAUAUGUCAUAUUAUUUUCUUAUUUAAAUUGAAAAAGAAAAGUAUGUUCAUCAUGUCUCUAAAAUUUCAUAUGAUAAUUGAUGAGUGCAAAUUGUGCACUUAUUUAGACCAUUUUAUUAAGUUUUUAUGUCGUCAAUUUAUUAAUUUCUACUUAAUUUGAGUUAAUUUUAGUUUGUUUUUAGUGAUGGACUCGUUCAGAGCAAAUGGAAAGGAUGAAGAACAAAUUGGCUAGUGGAUGCAAUAUUGAAGAACAAAUUCAACACUUGAAAAAUUGAAGAGGACGUUGAUUGCACAAUGGAGGAACUCAAAAACUGAAAUAUAUUAUAUUGAAAGAUUGAGGACUUGAUGAUUAAUAUUACAUUAAAGGCUUUGAAUUGGAGUCAAAUUUGGUGGCUAUGGAAUUAUUAUAUAAAGAUGUACACGCAGGAGGAAUUAGGGAGAGAUGGGAGUCCUUUCGUGAGUCAACCAUUGUGGCUGCUAGAAUUUUCUUUUGAUAUAUAUAUACACGUAUAUACUGAAGAGAAGGAAGCAGCCAAUUUUAAUAUAUAUUUUUCCACACACCAUAUUAUAGAGAAGCACGAAACUUUUGGCAGGAAUUCGAUAUUUUUUGGCACACAUUUUGAGGUGGCAAGAGGUGAUUGACACAGAUAGGGGGUACGGCUGUUGGGAGAAUUAAUUGGAGGGAGCUGGGGAUUUCUUUUUCUGCCAGUAAUAGAGACGCACAGAAAACCAAGGGUGAGGAAAUACUAUAUUUUAUACACACUUCGGAGGCUGAAAUUGUAAAACCGAGAGAGAGCAAAAAGGAGGCAGAAUAUAUACACGCAUACACGGCCAAAGAUGGCAACACGCGACGGCUUUACUUUUACAAAUUAUUCACGUUCCGUCCAUUUUCAGUGAUGCCUUCCAUAAUUUCUUACAUACACGGCCAGAGAUGGCAACACGCGACGGAUUUACUUUUACAAAUUAUUCACGUUCCGUCCAUUCUCAGUGAUGCCUUCCAUAAUUUCUUGUUUUUCUCUCAUUACUAUGCGUAGCUAAAUUUAACUUUAAGGCGAACAAUAUAACUGAUUUGGGAACCUUUAUUUUUUUUAUUUGAGAUUCUUAUUCUUUUAUAUUUUAUGCGUG
rnacentral:lncRNA from 1 species